rnacentral:lncRNA from 1 species
GAAAAUACGAAAAUGUAUAAGGUGAGGAGUAGCUUCGACAUGAUGUAAAAAAUCAUAAUGCGUGGACUUGUGUUGGGACAAAGUACUGUUGUUCAAAUCAAUAUUAAAAUUAUUUCCUAGCAAGCUUAAAUCAAGAUAGAUAGGUCCAUAUGCAAUAAAUCAGGUAACUCCUCAUGGAACAAUAGAGUUGAUCGGAAAAGGGGGACAACCUCUUCUUGUUAAUGGCCAAAGA